rnacentral:tRNA from 1 species
AGAUGAAUAGUUAAGAGUAAAAUAUUUAGUUUUUAACUAAAAGACCUGGGGAAAGCUAUUAUUUUAUCUC